rnacentral:lncRNA from 1 species
CUCCAUCCGUUGCUUUUUCCAAACAGUUGGGUUAGCAUCUGAAAGACCACAGUCUUCUAGCUUGGAGGAACCAUCCUUGAACCACUGAUAACUGACCCUUUCAGGAAAAUGUGUAAGAUCGUUCCUAGCAACAUUGUCAGAGUGUUCAGAUGCAUCGCUGAUUCGAUCUGGAUAACAGACGUGCCAUGGGGAUGGCUUCAUAUCAAAAGAAAAGUAGUCCAGGCCUUUAGGAGCUGUUGCUGCACCUGUAGCAAAAUUGCUUUCUCUGACUGAACUCUUACGUGGAGUGUGCUGCUGUAAAUCAGCAUCAUCUUCCUUGUUCUGUACAUUCUGAUGCUUUACGAAGGCCCUAUUCAAC